GAUUCACUGGUCUUGUGGUUAUGAUUUCUGUCUAACAUAUUUCUUGGUCUUCACAGAAGGUUCCUGGUUCGAUUCCAGGGUGAAUCA